UACGGUAAUUGGAGAACUUGGUACAACACCCAAACUGCUACCUAAAAGACUGAUAGAUAUUAAAAUUGAGACUUGCAUUGUUGACCUGAAGAAAUGUACCAUCCU